UGGGGACUAGUAUGAAUGGCAUCACGAGGGUUAAACUGUCUCCUUUUUCUAAUCAGUGAAACUAAUCUCCCCGUGAAGAAGCGGGGAUUAUUCUAUAAGACGAGAAGACCCUAUGGAGCUUAAAACAAACUUACACUUGCUUUUAUAUAUUAAACUUCCUGAACAUUCACAUAAACUAUAGCACAACUGAUAAUUAGUUUUCGAUUGGGGUGAUCAUGAAAAAAACAACCUCCACGACGAUAAGGGAGCCCCCCUGAGCCAAGAGCCACAACUUUAAGCACUAAAAAAUUAACGCACCUUGACCCAAUUACUUGAUCAACGAACCAAGUUACCCUAGGGAUAACAGCGCAAUCCACUUCAAGAGCUCCUAUCGACAAGUGGGC
rnacentral:rRNA from 1 species